GACGAACGCUGGCGGCGUGCCUAAUACAUGCAAGUCGAACGCAGUGGGGACGGGUGGGUAACCCGUGGGUAACCUCCCAUCAGAGGGGAUACCACUUGGAAACAGGUGCUAAACCCAUACUGAUGGAUGGACCCUGGGUGCAUUAGCUAGUUGGGGAGGUAACGGCUCACCAAGGCCACGAUGCAUAGCCGACCUGAGAGUGUGAUGGGCCACACUGGGACUGAGACACGGCCCAGACUCCUACGUGAGGCAGCAGUAGGGAAGAUUCGGCAAUGGACGAAAGCCUGACCGAGCAACGCCGCGUGAGUGAAGAAGGUUUUCGGAUCGUAAAACUCUGUUGGUAGAGAAGCGGUAUCUAACCAGAAAGCCACGGCUAACUACGUGCCAGCAGCCGCGGUAAUAC
rnacentral:rRNA from 1 species